rnacentral:rRNA from 1 species
GUGGGGAUGGAUUACCUCCUUU